rnacentral:rRNA from 1 species
AUACGGAGGGUGCGAGCGUUAAUCGGAAUUACUGGGCGUAAAGCGUGCGUAGGCGGUUUGCUAUGUCAGAUGUGAAAGCCCCGGGCUUAACCUGGGAACUGCAUUUGAUACUGGCAGACUAGAGUAUGAUAGAGGGGGGUAGAAUUCCUGGUGUAGCGGUGAAAUGCGUAGAUAUCAGGAGGAAUACCAGUGGCGAAGGCGGCCCCCUGGAUCAAUACUGACGCUGAGGUACGAAAGCGUGGGGAGCGAACAGGAUUAGAAACCCUAGUAGUCC